CUUCAGUGAUGACACGAUGACGAGACCGAUAAGAUUCAGUCUUGGUCAGGGGGGUUCUGGUUCGGAACUACGUUCUGUGGUUCGGUUCUGGUCCUUCUGGCCAGCGAGUCUUUUCUCGUGACGACACUGAGGCAUUUGUCUGAGAGGG